GGCCUGGCUGGCCGGUCCGCCUCACCGCGUGCACUGGUCCGGCCGGGCCUUUCCUUCUGGCUAGCCGCAUGCUCUUCACUGAGUGUGUCGGGGAACCAGGACUUUUACUUUGAAAAAAUUAGAGUGUUCAAAGCAGGCUCACGCUUGAAUACAUUAGCAUGGAAUAACGAAAUAGGACGU
rnacentral:rRNA from 1 species